rnacentral:rRNA from 1 species
CACGUAGGGUGCGAGCGUUGUCCGGAAUUAUUGGGCGUAAAGAGCUCGUAGGCGGUCUGUCGCGUCGAUCGUGAAAACUUGGGGCUUAACCCUGAGCUUGCGGUCGAUACGGGCAUGACUGGAGUUCGGCAGGGGAGACUGGAAUUCCUGGUGUAGCGGUGAAAUGCGCAGAUAUCAGGAGGAACACCGGUGGCGAAGGCGGGGUCUCCUGGGCAGUAACUGACGCUGGAGGAGCGAAAGCGUGGGGAGCGAACAGGA